rnacentral:misc_RNA from 1 species
UUUUUUCCCUUAUUAUUUCCUUGAAUUUUCUAGCAACCAAACUUACAACAAAUCAAAAUAAGUUUCCAAUGAAUUCAACUGUAUUUGCGACUAAUAUUUUCUUUUUGUUUUUAACCAUUAUUGUUCUGAAUUCUUGUAUCCAUAAUUUGUAACCCAUGACCUGGCUUCAACAAUGUGAAUUCACCUUAUUUAUUGUUUGCUUUUG